AUUUGUGUCUUCCUCCCUCUCUAUCUCUCAGAGGGAUAAAUUACUCAAAAAUAAAAAAGGAGCAAAACAGAGUUACACGGCAAGUGGAAAAGAGAGGUUUUAGUCCAGUGGGAUUCCCAUUCCUAAUCAAUCGCUGCUUGCUUUUGCUUACUGAGAUGUUGGCUCAUAUUUUUUCAGCAUGUGAGAGACGAGCCGUGUGUCAGGGCAUUCCACACGGACCGGGUGCCAAAAUUUAGAUCCAGAGCCAGAUGGCGCAGAUCAGUCGGGAUAUGUGAAACACCUUCAUAUUCAUAAACUGCAAACUGACAUUACUGGAGAGGAGUGCUUCCAGUUUACAAGAUGGCCAUAAAACCCACCAGCCUCAAGGCCACUGAUGGUAUUUUCUUCAUGUAUAUAUCAAGAUGUUUGCAGGCUUUGUCCUUGCUUGUGUGCUAUGUUUUGUAGCCUGAUGAUUUUGUCCUUAAGAUUGUGAAAGAUUGAGUCCCAGUACUCAGUACUUUCAUCCCUGCAAGACUAGUUCCCUUUAGCAACACUUCUGUUUGCAAUCCAGAAUAAUCACUGUAGAGUGCAUAGCUCUGGUUGGAGGUUUAUUUACAUUUAUAAUUUGGAGCUUUUAAUUUUUCUUUCAAGUUUUGGUGGCCCAGAACCAUUGCCCCACCUGAUCAAGAUGGGUAACUCUCAUGCGCCGGCGUUUAUUGUUGUUUGUACAACAAUGACACACUUCAAUAAGCAAAAAUAAUGUUUAUACAGUGGUUUAGAUGCAUUAAUUCAAUUAGUGAGCACACACACUUUGUUCACUUAUAUAUUUUCAUCAACUAAUUUCUCAUCUUGACUUUCAUUACCAAUUCUUGUUUCUUCUACUGGUUCUUCACGUUCCAUGAUCCUUGGGAGUUUGGUGACCAGAAGUCAGAGCAGCUAAAUAUGUGGACGCAUUUUUGAAACGAUUUUUAU